AGGACCUAAGGUUUUGCCCAUGACACAGAUGCAUAUGGAACCUGAUUCUGAGAGUUCUGCUGAUCAUUGAAAUGUAUUCUGAGAUGUGUUUGGGAGGUAGGAUGAUUCCUGUUGAAAAAAUGUGAGCUUAAGCACCAAAAGUAAUAUUAGGUCACUUACCAUAGUGGUGGUUUAGCCAGAUUUAAGUGGACCUGUGACAUACAGAAUACCUGCAUGGAGUUAGUGUCACAAAUGUAGUUUGUAUUUCCUUGAAAUCAUUUUCGAUUUUAAAUAAAUGUAUGAAGAACCUGGAUUAACUACACACUUAAUGUGUCUCAACAAAAUUCACAACUGUGUCCAGUUUAAUGUAAAUAUAUGGAUGCCUCCAUUGAAGUGACUGAAGUAAUAUCGUUGGCAGUUGAUCUGUAUCUUUCUUUUUGUUUUAGAUCUUUUCCAACACACCAUCACCUUAACACCUAGAAAUGCCCAGUAUGUUUAUAUGAAUUUACAUGCACGUAUAUGAUCGGAGAUGUCUUUUAAAAGAGAUGGGGACAACCCAGAUCUGCUGGGAAAUCUUAGAAAGCGAAGAGUACAGGAGCUGUUCGCAGAAGUAUUCCAGAAGACGAAGCAUUUUUGAUGAGGAAUGGCAGGUUUGCUUGUACUGUUUGUAACCAAAGGCCAGUGUUUGACACAGUCAGCAUGCUGGCUGUUCACAGACAAGGCAAGAAACACCUUGCAA